CGGCCGCAUCACGUUGAAACACCGGUUCCGAGUAGGAUCACCGAAAUUAAGCAACUUCGAGCCUAAUCAGUACCCGGAUGAGUGACCGCUUGGGAAUUGCGGUUCUGUA